rnacentral:rRNA from 1 species
GAUGAACGCUAGCGGCAGGCUUAACACAUGCAAGUCGAGGGGCAGCGAGAGAGUAGCAAUACUUUUGUCGGCGACCGGCGGACGGGUGCGUAACGCGUAUGCAACCUACCUUAUACAGGGGGAUAACCUUUCGAAAGGGAGACUAAUACCGCAUAACAUUACUUUGAGGCAUCUUGAGGUAAUUAAAUCUUCGGAGGUAUAAGAUGGGCAUGCGUAGCAUUAGCUAGAUGGUGCGGUAACGGCGUACCAUGGCGACGAUGCUUAGGGGUUCUGAGAGGAAGGUCCCCCACACUGGUACUGAGAUACGGACCAGACUCCUACGGGAGGCAGCAGUGAGGAAUAUUGGUCAAUGGUCGGAAGACUGAACCAGCCAUGCCGCGUGCAGGAAGAANGUCUUAUGGAUUGUAAACUGCUUUUGUAU